UACGUAGGGUGCAAGCGUUGUCCGGAAUCAUUGGGCGUAAAGCGCGCGUAGGUGGCCAUUUAAGUCCGCUGUGAAAGUCAAAGGCUCAACCUUUGAAAGCCGGUGGAUACUGGAUGGCUAGAGUACGGAAGAGGCGAGUGGAAUUCCUGGUGUAGCGGUGGAAUGCGCAGAUAUCAGGAGGAACACCGGUGGCGAAGGCGGGUCUCUGGGCAGUAACUGACGCUGAGGAGCGAAAGCGUGGGGAGCGAACAGG
rnacentral:rRNA from 1 species